CCAGGACAUCAUCACAAAUGGACGGACUCUACGUUCUUCUGGUUGUUUUCUCAGGACUUUUUUCCUCCAAUCAUAAUUUGGUUUCUGGAUCCAUGUUGGAGGUGACAGCCAGACCUGGAGACAACAUCACUCUCUACUGUGACUGUAAAGUGUCAAAUGGAGUAUACAUAGUGUGGAUCAGGAACUGUUCCCAUGAGAACCAACCUUCCCUUGUUCUAAGGGGAAAUGAUGUUUAUCGGUUGGAAUCCCUUCAUUUUGAAUUUGUGAAGAACGAUUCUUCUGAUUCCUAUGACCUGUUAAUCAAGAACAUCACUAAUGCUGAUGAGGGUCUCUACUACUGUGGAACUGAGGAGCUGAAUGUGGAGAACAACCAGGAACGCAUUACUCCCACAACAGUUUACAGAUACAGCAACAUGUCAACUAGGAUCAUACUCAACUCCACUGAGCCUCAUCAUGAAAUCCAUCAUGACAACAACAAGACUGAACAAAACUGUGGUGUGUGCUGGAAGCUGCUCUUCUCGCUGUGUCCAGUUGUUGCUGUUCUUUCUUCUCUCUUGUCUCUUCUGGUUUUACAGCUUUGCCACA